UUUCCGUAGGUGAACCUGCGGAAGGAUCAUUAACAAAUCAAGUGUGCUUGCACACAUUAAUCCAUGUGAAUCGUCAAUCAUUUGAUUGAAAUUGGAAACGAAAGUUUCUAGACCAAGAAAUUGGUCAAACACACGUCUAAACUAUAAUGACUGAAUCUAAAAAUUAAAAAAUUACAACUUUUAACAAUGGAUCUCUUGGCUCUU
rnacentral:misc_RNA from 1 species